UAGUUCAUAUGGAGGCACUCUUAUUACGGUGCAAUGACACUUCUGACAUACUACAUUAUUCUCGUGGUCUUUCUAGGUUUGGUUUGAUCUCCAUUUUUUGAAAGCGAGAGUUUGGAUUGUAAAUGAAAGCUGUAUCUUAUGAUAAUUGUAAUUUCAGCUUGAAUAUUUUUGCAGGCAACAUGUGACAUUGCCCUUAUAGAGCAAAUUAGGGUUUCUAUUUUAGAGAAGACAAUGCAGUAAACUAAUAGCUUCCUGGUUUAGGAGCAGCAAUUUUCAUGGAGAUCUGGCAUCAAGUAGCAAUCACUGAAAUGUAUAAGAAUCUUUGAGUAUUAGACCGAUGUAGCACCAUUGUACAUAGAGAAAGUUUUGUUCCUUGAUGUCAAGCUCUCCUGAUCUAUUUUGUUGCUGUGUUGGGAAAUGAAUGUGAAAAAACAAAAGGUCAUUGAAUGCAAAGUAAGCUUUAUCCAGAGCUCUGGGGAUAAAAUACAGGUCAAUCAUCGUUUACCAACCAUUUCCCUCACACAACUCUUCAUAUCUCACAAAUACAAAUCGAAAAGAAAGAAAAGACAUGGUAGAGACUAGAGAGAAUGAGAAGCGACAAGGUAAGUAGAGGGAAAAAAGAUUCAAAAGAAGUUUGUGAGGAAAAGGACAGGAAGAAGAAGGAAAAGAAGAAAAAGGUAGAAAAGGGAGGAAAUGACAAAAAAAAAAAAGGGAAAAAAGAAAAGAAAUAAAAAAGAAAAAAGGGGAAAAAAAGGGAUAAUUGUGAAGGGAAAAUGCGGGGACUUACAGACUGAAGUUUUAAAUGAACAGAAAAGAGAAAGGAGAGGAAGAGAUAUAUGGUCAGUGGUGCGGAUCUGAAUUUUCUACUAGAUCUGCACUUAUUUCAAGUCUGCAAUUUGAUUGCAAUUUUGGGAGAA
rnacentral:lncRNA from 1 species